rnacentral:siRNA from 1 species
UGCAAUCUCUUUUCAAGUCCC